UUGCUUUGUUAAACAUGGCUUAACCGACAUUUUGAAAGAUGCACAGUGAUAUGACUUAGACCAGUGUUCUAGCUUUCACAGCACGCUAGGGUGGCCUUUUUUUUUUUUUGAGAGAGAGGGCUUUUUCCUCCUUGUGAUAGGCCAAGUUGAAACUUGUGAUUUAGCUGUGUUCAUUGGCAGAAAAAAGCCCCAGCCUUGGAGGCACGACUUCAUUUUGCUGAUUGUUCCCUUGCUGGUGGAUGACAGAGCUUCAAGUCCUGGGAACCAGUGUGGAAUUUGGACUCUGCAUUCCUUCUGCCAGUGAAGUUUCUGAACAGAUAGAAACCCAGUUGACUUCGGCUGACCCAGUUGACGCUGUUCCCCGUUGACUACUGGCUCCCUUGAGCUCUGUGUUAAGGACUCCAGGCUGAAACCCCUCAAGUGGGUGGUUUUAGACCGAGUGGACAUUGUUCCCAGUUGGAGAAUCACCUAGGGACUGGAGGCAUUUCCACACUCCAGUCCCCUGGAUUCAGCUGUACGAUGGGAGAGAGCCGAUGUCAUAUAAGGAAACUCCUCUUUCUCCUCAACCCUGGUCAGAUGAAGGAAGUUGUCGGCUUGAGGGCUUUUCCAGACCAACAGCCAACUCGACUCACCUUGGAUGUGGCUGUGACGCAAAGAAAAUCUUUUGACUCUACUUGCCACCUACCUCUACAAGGGCUUCCGGGUGAUGCCUGAGGGUGCCCCCUCCAUCAUGGGAACCCAGCAACUCCCUUCCUCCCAAGUGGAUUGUUGAAAUAACUGUGCCGGGCCAGAUGGAGCCGGAGCUUUGCGGAGAUGAGCAGUCUUUCCCCAAGUGCUUUAUACAGCACUCUCCACACAAAUUGGAGUAGAGAAUUUAGAAGGGGAAAAUCAGAAACACGGAUGAUGGCAUUUCUUUGCCUGCAGAAGAGCUGAAACUCCAAGUCAGGGAAAGUCUUGGGGCUCGAUUAUAAGCUCCUUGAAGGCAAAGACAAUAUAAUCUCCUACUCUGUAGUAGGCUCCCAUGUGCCUAGUAAAGUGUCCUGUACACUAACACUCAUGAACAAUUACGUUGAUGGUGAGAUGAAAGCACUGUCUCACCCCACUGGUGCACUUUAACUACCCGAUUGCUUUUUGUGGAAAAGCCACUGGGAAAAUUUGUAGAGAAAAGCAUCAUCGUUUCAAGGACAAUUCCCCUAGAAAGGUCCCUUUGUCUCUCCAGCAGCAACCUCAGUAGCCUCUCUAUCCAUCUCCUCCCUACCCAUCGCUGUUUUUUUCACUGACCACUCUGACUCUCUGGCCUUCUCUUCAUAAGCCUUUCACUGCUGCCUAGCAACAGACACAGCCUUUUCCAAAGGGAAGGAAACUUAUAUAUUGGGCUGGAAUGGACAGAAAUGGAAUGAGAGUAACACAAAAAGAGUUCCUGCUACUUUAUUUUCUCCUCCUUUCUCUUUCUGUCAGACUUCUUCUCUGCCCCCUUUUCCACUUUUACC